AUUUGGGGGAAUGUUAGUAUGCUUGAUUCAUACGAGUAUAUACAACAAAGUAUAUGCGUAUCGACUACGUCGAAUAAAGUUCUAAAUAGAUAAUUGAUAGUGACAAACUUCUAUUUAUAUGUCUCGACCAAUUCUUGUGCCAGCAGUCGCGGCAACACAAGUGAGACUAGUGUUAUUCAUCUUUAUUAGGUUUAAAGGGUACCUAGACGGUUUUUUCAGCCCCUAAAGGGUACUGAAUUAACUAGAGUUUUAUGGGAGAGGUAAAUAUUAGAACCAUCGGUGUAGAGAUGAAAUUCUUUGAUACUGGUGUGAUGUGUAAUGGCGAAGGCAACCCUCUAUGUACAAACUGACGUUAAGGGACGAAGGCUUGGGGAGCGAAUAGGAUUAGAUACCCUAGUAGUCCAGGCAGAAAAUUAUGUAUGUUAUAGACUUCGAUUUAAUCGAUGUGUAUAAAUGAAAGUGUAAGCAUACCACCUCAAGAGUAAUGUGGCAACACAGGAACUGAAAUCAU
rnacentral:rRNA from 1 species